GACUUCUGCGGCCGUCGUCGUUGAUGGGCGGCGAGACAUCGGUUACAUUCUAAAGAACUAACGUUAUUUGUGCUUGUUUAUUGACAAUAAUAUAUUUAUAAAGUAAACUGUGACCUCUAUCUGCAUAAUUUAGAAAACCAAUUAUGCGGAAAGAGGUCGCAAAUUACUGCUUUCACAUAUUUCGAACAGUGAUCGUGUGACGCGAGCUAUCUACCCCACAUAUUGGUUGUCGUCCUCGUAACUGGCGCAUGCAGUAGGACAGUUGGAGUCAGUGCUCGCCGCAGUCGGUAUCCAGCUCCGACAGUCCCUGCUCCUAUUCGUAGCCACUGGUUGAGCUGUCAAGCUUUCGAGUGUCCUGACUUUGGGAGACGAAGCCAGAGAUCCAAGCGUAGAUACAACCCGAGAACAAACGAGAUGCUGCUCAUAAUGGAACCUCAGCACCGAGCUGGAAUCAGAUGACAUUAUGAACUACUCAAACGCCGUACUCUCCGAGGAUAUAGCACGGAGUAUGACGGAGACGAAGCAGGCGGAGGAUGCCGAACGCGUCAUGGACACGCUGUUCAUAGACAACUGCGAUCACAAACAACUCAAAGGUACUCAGACUAGAGCCUGUUUCGAUAGACCUUAAAGAAAAAGUAACCGAGAAUUGUUGAAAUUAUCUCGGGGACACAGUGUAAAUGGAAUUAGUAAAUAAAUAGUGAAUAAUCCAAACAUUUGAAACAGUGCAUGCAUGAAAUAGAAACAGCCAAGACAAAUCUGUGUGCAAAACCGAAUUAGUUAAGAAAGAAAACGAGUGGGUCGUCCAGAAAAAGAAGAUUGAUAUAAACGAAUUCAUGCUGCCCAAUUUCAGCGAAGAAGAGAUUAAAAGACUUAACAUAGAAGGUGACAAUCACUGUGAGAGAUUACGAACCAUGUACCAUUUCGCUAGAAAGAACGAUAUAAAGAUGCUAUUCCCGUGUGAUCGGUGCGAGAAAAUAUGCAGGACACUGAGCUGUCGCUGAAGUUGCACAACGGGAAACACGAGAACCCCAAGCCGUUCAAGCGUAAAGUGUGGAAACGCAGGAUUAUUGGAGGGCGGUGCGAAGUCUGCAAAAGCUCAUUUGAGCGAGACACCGGUCGGAACCGAUAAACGUUCUGCAUAAUUGAUACAUCGAAAUAGUUUUUAAUGCAAUAUUCACGUGACUAGCAAUUGUUUUUAUAUAUUUCGAUCGUGUUACUGAAUAUUUAGUGAAAUUUAUUUCGAGUAUGUUGUAGCGAAGUCGUAUCUAACCAUUGAUUAUUGUCGCUGAUCUAAUAUACGGAUUUAACUAUUUUAUUGAAUAUAUAGUAUAAUUAUUUAUUUUAUUUUAAACAUGCAGUGGCAAAAUCGUGUCUAACGUUAGACUAGGUGUCCAUGUGACUACUGCUGGUCUUCAACGAAAUAUCCAUGGACGAGAUCGUUUAACCACCAAUAUUUCUCACCAGAGGUAGACUUUGUACAAGUCGUCUGCAUGGAUACCUCUGUCCCAUCCGUGUUCUCGCCGUGAAGCAGCUGCGCUCGCAUGGCUGUCUUUCGGCUCGAAGGAUGGGGUAUGGCAGCGAGAUCACAGGACACGGAGGCAUAGCCAUAGUCCUCGAGGGGGGAAGGGAUUGCUAGUAAUGCGGACUGUCGGCACCAUUGCUAGCAAUACACCCGAACAGGUCGACCUCCACGCGGUUCCCCCUGGAAACCAUCGUGAUCAAUCAUUGUUCAAUUGGUCACGAUGGGCCAACUGGCCUGUGUCCAUGGUGUCCCGCCGGCGUACACCGCUAGCGGAGGCGAGGCUGCCAUGGACACCACCACGCCAUUAAUUCGUGGUGGAUUAAAAUAAAAUUAAUCUGAUAGGAGUGGUUUAAGUAUAUCAUUUUAAUAUAGUUUUCUUUUUUCUUUCAUUUUAUUUCGUUUUUAGCGUAAGGCAUUAGUAAGUUUCCCACUUGCCCGCUGGGGCUGGUGGGCCGGUGGGCUGGUUUCCUAUGCAGAGGAUCCAGGUAGAUGAUAUGUCGAGUAAGAUUAUCCAUUUUAAUUAUUUUACUUCUUUUUUUCUCUAGCGUAAGGUAUCGAAAACAUAUAUAUAUAACUAAUGUAAGUAGUUUAAGCAUUCCAUUUAGUAUAGUUUUGUUUUUUUUCUUUUAUAUGUCUUUAACGUAAGGUAUUAAAAAUAUAAGAUGUCUUAUUUUAAGAUUGUGGGUACGAUAAUUGUUUUUAUAUUGUGUAGCCUCCGACUUGUCACCGGAGGUUGCUGAAAUAUAGUAAAAAAAAAUACAUAUAUAUAUAUAUAUAUAUAUAUAUGUAUAUAUAUAUAUAUAUUACAAAUAAAAUAAAUAUAAUAAUAUAUAUAUAAUAUAAAUGUCUGGAAAACAUAAUUGUGAUAUAUUGUGCGUUUUUUUUUUUUAAAUAAUAGCAUUUAUACAACUUUUCUAAUUCUUGUUAGAUUAAACAUUUGUUAGUUUAAGCUUUUGUUAGUUUAAGCGUUUGUUAGUUUAAGCGUUUGUUAGUUUAAGCUUUUGUUAGUUUAAGCGUUUGUUAGUUUAAGCGUUUGUUAGUUUAAGCUUUUGUUAGUUUAAGCGUUUGUUAGUUUAAGCUUUUGUUAGUUUAAGCGUUUGUUAGUUUAAGCAUUUUUUUAGUUUAAGCCAAUGUUUGUUAGAUCUUCGUUAUUCUAUGUAAUAAUGCAGCUUACUGGAUAACGGAAGUCUAUUAAUUUUAAGUAACUUUCAUUAGUAAUCCCUGUUCUUUCAUUUCUCUAAAUAAAUAGUUUUCAUUUAUA